rnacentral:rRNA from 1 species
UACGUAUGGUGCAAGCGUUAUCCGGAUUUACUGGGUGUAAAGGGAGCGCAGGUGGUGCGGCAAGUCUGAUGUGAAAGCCCGGGGCUCAACCCCGGUACUGCAUUGGAAACUGUCGUACUAGAGUGUCGGAGGGGUAAGCGGAAUUCCUAGUGUAGCGGUGAAAUGCGUAGAUAUUAGGAGGAACACCAGUGGCGAAGGCGGCUUACUGGACGAUAACUGACGCUGAGGCUCGAAAGCGUGGGGAGCAAACAGG